rnacentral:rRNA from 1 species
AGACGGAGGGGGCUAGCGUUGUUCGGAAUUACUGGGCGUAAAGGGCGCGUAGGCGGAUUAGUAAGUUGGGAGUGAAAGCCCGGGGCUCAACCUCGGAACUGCUUUCAAAACUGCUAAUCUAGAGUGAAGUAGGGGGUGAUGGAAUUCCUAGUGUAGAGGUGAAAUUCUUAGAUAUUAGGAGGAACACCGGUGGCGAAGGCGGUCACCUGGACUUCAACUGACGCUGAGGCGCGAAAGCGUGGGGAGCAAACAGGAUUAGAAACCCUAGUAGUCC